CGUAAGUUGGAAUUUUAAAUUAAUUAUUUUCCUUGCGUAUAUAAGCAUUACAAUGGUCAUCGAAUUUUGCUCGUCGGCUCAACCCUAGCGCUCCGACAUCAAUGCUACUGCGCCCCAGUGAUCCCGUCGCCGGAGUCGAUCGCUGGUCGAUGCGGACGGGAACAGUUCACCUCGGCAGCGGAGGCGAUAACCACUUGUGCAUCUAGACCUGUUGUAGGCUCAUCCAUGAAUAUGAUAGAAGGACUUGAAACUAAUUCCACUGCAAUUGUUAGACGUUUGCGCUCUUCUGCUGCAAGACCAUUUAAUCCUGGUAAACCUACCAUUGCAUUCUUCAGUUUCUUAAGCUCAACCAGUUCCAUAACUUCAUCUACGAAUAUCUGAAGCAGAGGAAAAAGUACGCAAAAGAUUAGUGUACUUGAGAAAACAUAAGGAAAUCUGCUGCGUUCUUUCUAUCAGGACAUUUGAAGCCCAUCCAUUCAAAAUGUUUAAGAACAUGUUCUCUGGGUCCUUGAUAAGCAAUUUGCCCCUCACAUAAAAGGAUGAUGUCAUCAAAUAGCUCAAAUGCUUCUUGAGCAGGCUGAAGCAAAGAUAUAACCAUGGUGAAAUCCAAAGCACGUGUAAGCUGCUGCAGAAACUUGAGAAUCUGAAAGUCAUGAGAGUAACAUAAAUCUAUGCAUCAAAGUUGCUAAUGUCCUUGACCUUCACUGCUUACAAGAACAUGAUUAUAGUGUGGAGAAAUCCACUCUCAACAACAACAAAUAAAAACUAAUUGUUUUUCGAAGCUGAAAGUUGCUGCAACAAGGUACCUCUCCAUUCGUACUAUCACUUCAAUGAUGCUAUAUCCAGUAAUAUGAUGUGCUACUUAUAUCUUCAAUAUUCAAUUUAUUGGCAUUUGCCCAGCAGUGCAAGUUAGUUAUGUUUAUGAGUAUGAUAAGUUUGAAUUGAUGCAUUAUUUUCAUGAUUUCAUGUUGAAGCUAUGCUUUGUUCUUGUUGAGAUGGUAACAUACUUCAAAAAGAGUUACACUGUAGACUAUGAAUUACAGCUAAUAUAUUUGAUUGGCAUAGAACAAACACUAUAAUUGGCCAAUAGCUUAUGAAAUGUUGAGAUGGUGUUAGAAAAUGGUAAUGUAAAAAACCUUGAAACUUUUGCAAAUUGUUAUUAUUUUUUGGCAUGGAAACAUACAUCACAAAGACCUAAAUGUAUGCUAAAUGCUGAACUGAUGUUCCCAAAGGUAAGAUGUAUACCAAUAGUGACUCUUUUCUUUUGUCCUCCAGAUAUUCCCCUUCUCAUCUGAUCACCUAUUAUUAUGUUUGCACACUCAUGUAAGCCAAGUACCUGAAAGAAUAAGUCAUGAAGUCUGAAAGAUAUAAGUUAUUUUUUGCAUGGGAACACCUUAAAGCUUCUUGUGGGAAAUGGUUCCUCAUUGUUCAUGAUGGGGAUGUUAUGAAAUCUUAUAGACAAAAGUAGAAGAUGAGGUGCUUGCUGGACAAUUCUUUCGUCGAAUCCAUCAGUAAACAAAUUAUUGCAUGAAACUUGCCAGAUUCAUACUAGUCUAUCAGACAGUUGUGGGGCCCAAAAGAUCUCAUUUUCUCUCGGGUAUUGUCUAAUUCCAUCAAUCAUGGAGAUUAUUGAUCUUAAAUUGUUUAAGAUCCAGGAACCUGAACAGUGUUGAUGAUGGCAUUGGGUAGGGUGGGAAGAACUCUCCUGGAAGCAUGAACCUCAGUCUCCACUGACAAAUCCUCGAACCGCACUUCGAUCUUCGGAGCGUUGAUUCCCGACCUACAAUCAAUUAACGAAAGAGAACAACGAAUCAUCAGAACUCUAGAACUUCUGAUAUCUUCGAACCGACAAGCACUACCUUGUUCUCCAAUCUCGUAAGCUGGAGAUCAGCUCUUCAUGCUCUUCACAGGCAUACUAUUACACUACAGCAAAGGAAGACAACUCACUCGUGUGGUUGAAUUUGUAUUGAACUAGUAGCACCUCCUGUAACAGUGGGAUUAUG